UAUGGCCUAUGGGUCUUAAUUCUUCUAUUCCUAUCUUCAUCUCUUCCCAGUUCCCUCCCGCCUCUCUAGUCUCUUCUGCAGCUUCUGCUCUUCAUCUCUUCGAGACUUCGACUCUUCCCUCCUGCCACUGCUGCCGCCGCCUGUCGCCGCCUGUCGCCGCCAACCUCCAUCUCUUGUCCGCCGCCUGUUUUGGACUUUGGUUUGGUAAGUAAUUUAACUAAUUUUUAAUUUUAAUUUAGCCUAAAUGUCUUUCAAAGUUGGUACUAUUAAUUUUAAUUUAGC
rnacentral:lncRNA from 1 species